GGACUUCCAGGCCAUGGUGGUGGAUGGAGUGCAGGACUUCCGUCUCUCGAGGACCAACCCGAAGAACAAAAUUGCAAAAGCCGAGAAAGAGUCCCAGCGGCAAAGUAAUCAAGCAUGAGAAGUUGCCAAAUGUGACGUUGUGUCCCGUCAGAGGCAGGGGCUGCCAUUGAGGUUGACCGUCUCCACAAGUGUUCACCGAUGGUCCAUGACGACGAUGGUCACAGGGUAGAAAGGAUGGAAUUCUAUGAAUUUCUUGGUGCUCAGUUUCAACUCAGCAGGCAAGUCAUCUUCUCUCAGACGCUCCCAUCCCUCCGCUCCGUGGCGUGGCCAUAUUCUCGAGAGCGCUCGUGGUUCAUUCUGCACCUUCAAGGGCUGAUAAGCAACCUGCCGGACCUCUCUGCUCCCAGAGUCAAAUAAGCCACUCACACAUCUUUGCAUUUUGACCCAGUGGUCUCUUGGCUGUGUCCCCAGCGUGCUCUCUUGCAAAUGUGUGCACAUGCCUCAUUCUAGAAGAUAUGAUUACGAUGUGGGACCCUGUGUCUCUGUGCAGCUUGAUGCAUCUCCCAGCCAAGAAUGGGCAUGAGAAGCCGGGAAGACCCGAGUCUGAAUCCUGACUGUAUUAAUUUCUAGCUGUGUGAUCUGGAUGGAGCUACUUAAUUUCUCCGAACAGCAGAUUCCUUUAUCUGGACAGCGGUGCUAAAACCCUUUCUUCCAGCGCGGGGGACUGUUAAAGAAAAUGCCCAAACGGUAUCUGGGUCCUAGUGCACGUCAAAAACUUUUGUCUGAUCCAAGAAGUGGACUUAUAACCUCUCUCUCCUAACGUUUCAUGAAGUCAUCACAUGCUGGAUGUGCAGUCCUCAGUAAGGACCAGUGUUAAAGUUCUAAGCUACAGAAGUCUGCAAUCCGCAGUCGCCAGGCAUGACCUGGCGCCGUUCUACUGUUGGCGUGACCCCCGUAAGACCAGAGGAUGCUGCGCUCUGGGCCUCGAAGGCACCAGCGUGAAUCCCCACCCUGAUUCUUCCCAGGAGAAGCGAAGCGUUGAAAAUUAUAUUCAGCUGCAGGAGUUUUCAGCCUCACAUUCGGAAAGAGCAGAAGUUGCUAGAGGCUAUUUUCAGAGAACUCCUAAUAAGUACAGAACCCAAAUACAGACAUGGUUGUUAACACCCUGGGAAAUGCCAAAUCCAAGCUGGAUCGCAGCCAGCAGAGAAAUGGAAAGUCCUAGAUAGCUUAUCUCAGAGCCAAUCUGUAUUACGCGGGAGGCGCAAGAGGCAAUUGCACGGGAGGACACGAGCUCUCCUUCUAGGCUCUACAUCAGCGCCUUGGACCGACAACAUCAAGGUGCAUUGGGCAUUUUCUGAAUCUGCGAGUAGGUCCCUUGUCCUGCCCUGUGUUCUAUCCUGUGCUGCCAGCCUUCUUCUCCUUCAACCCACCCAUUCUUCCUGACCCGUUUCAUUCAUUCCUGGGGCUUCAGGAACCUUCUCUCCCUCAACAAAUGACUCCUUGUGAUAGAUCUCCAGGCUUGAGUUUUUAAACAAGUUUAUUCUAUUUAUUUGUUUGUUUGUUUACUUAUUUAUUUAGAGAGAGAGAGAGAGAGAGAGGAGAGAAAGAGAGAGCACACGGGGGAGAGGCAGAGAGAGGCAGAGAGAGAAUCCCAAGCAGGCUCCACGCUGUCUGCGCAGCCUGACGCGGGGCUCGAUCCCACGAACCGGGAGAUCACGACGUGAGCUGAAAUCAAGAGUUGGAUGCUCAACCACCUGAGCCACCCAGGACCCCCAGCCUUGACUUUUUGUCUGCAUGUCAGGCACCUGUUUAAGCCCGCGACAGACACCCAAACUCAGCAUGAUUUUCUCCAGCUCUGUUAACUCAGCACUGGGACACAGGUUCUUUGACUACAAGCCAAGAGUUUUCUGCUCUCCACAACGAUGCCUUGGGUAGUUGACGUGGUGGCUAAUUGAAGUUAAAGCACCCAUUUAGAAUGGUUUUGGGGGAAGGUGACAGAAAGUCUGACUGUGGCAAUGAUUAGAAUUUGGAUUCUGAAGAUUUGGGUUCAAACCUCAAGAUGCAACCUUCAUACCUCUCCGGGAGCAUGGCUUCAAUAAAUCAUUUCCAUUUGCAAAGAGUAGAGCA
rnacentral:lncRNA from 1 species